GUAGGGUCCGAGCGUUGUCCGGAGUUACUGGGCGUAAAGCGCGCGCAGGUGGUUCACUAAGCCCGGCGUGAAAGCCCCCGGCUCAACCGGGGAGGGUCGUCGGGGACUGGUGAACUUGAGGGCGGCAGGGGCUGGUGGAAUCCCCGGUGUAGUGGUGAAAUGCGUAGAGAUCGGGGGGAACACCCGUGGCGAAGGCGGCCAGCUGGGCCGACCCUGACACUGAGGCGCGAAGGCGUGGGGAGCGAACGGGAUUAGAUACCCCGGUAGUCCACGCAGUAAACGAUGCCGACUGGGCGUGGGGGGACUUGACCCCCUCCGUGCCGGAGCCAACGCGGGAAGUCGGCCGCCUGGGGAGUACGGCCGCAAGGCUAAA
rnacentral:rRNA from 1 species